GAUUAAGUUACAAAGGGCGAAUGGAGGAUGCCUAGGCUUCUAUCGGCGAGGAAGGACGCGGACAGCUGCGAAAAGCUCCGGGGAUCUGCAAACAGGAUUAGAUCCGGAGAUAUCCGAAUGGGGCAACCCGUCAUGCUGAAGGCAUGACACAUCGAAAGAUGGGCCAACGCAGGGAACUGAAACAUCUAAGUACCUGCAGGAAAAGAAAGAAAAUAUCGAUUUCCCGAGUAGUGGCGAGCGAAAAGGAAAUAGCCCAAACCGAUAUUGUUGCGGCAAUAUCGGGGUUAUAGGACUGAGCCAUACGCACAUGAAAUUAACUGGAAUAUACUGGAAAGUAUGAUCAUAGAGGGUGAUAAUCCCGUACAGGCAAGUUUCAUGUAAGUUAUCAGAAUCCUGAGUAGGGCGGGACACGAGGAAUCCUGUCUGAAUUCACGGGGACCAUCCCGUAAGGCUAAAUACGAAUAGAAGACCGAUAGUGAACCAGUACUGUGAAGGAAAGGUGAAAAGAACCGUGAACAACGGAGUGCAAUAGAACCUGAAACCAUUCGCUUACAAGCGGUCGGAGUCCUGAAAGGGAUGACGGCGUGCCUUUUGGAUAAUGAGCCUACGAGUUGCGUUUCACUAGCGAGGCUAAGUUCUUCAGGAACGGAGCCGAAGCGAAAGCGAGUCUGAACAGGGCGUUAAGUUAGUGGGAGCAGACGCGAAACCUUGUGAUCUACCCUUGACCAGGUUGAAGUUACCGUAACAGGUAAUGGAGGACCGAACCAGUUUCCGUUGAAAAGGAUUUGGAUGAGUUGAGGGUAGGGGUGAAAGGCUAAUCAAACUGGGAGAUAGCUCGUACUCCCCGAAAUGUCUUUAGGGACAGCCUCGAAAUAGCUUGCAUGAGGUAGAGCUACUGAUAGGAUGCGAGGGCUUCACCGCCUAUCAAAUCCUGACAAACUCCGAAUGCGUGCAAGUGUUUUUCGGGAGUGAGUCAUCGGGUGCUAAUGUCCGGUGGCGAGAGGGAAACAGCCCAGACCAACGUCUAAGGCCUCCAAACGUGUGUUAAGUUGACAGAACGAUGUUCGGUUGCAGAGACAGCUAGGAUGUUAGCUUGGAAGCAGCUAUUCAUUUAAAGAGUG
rnacentral:rRNA from 1 species